GGUAAAAUGGCUGAAGUUUUAGGUUAUAAACUGUAAAUUUAUAUAUGAGUUAUACUCUUUUGCCA
rnacentral:tRNA from 1 species